GGAGGUGUGGCUCAGUGGUAGAGUGUUUGCUUAGCAUGCAAAAGGCCCUGGGUUCAAUCCCCAGCAUCUAAA